rnacentral:rRNA from 1 species
AGUAAAAGUCGUAACAAGGUUUCCGGUUAGUAACCCCCCUUAUCUACGACGUGUGAAUCUUUAACUAACAAAUUAAACAGUAGGUGAACCUGCGGAAGGAUCAUUACCGAGUUAGGGUCUUCUAGGCCCGACCUCCCAACCCUUGUGUUUAACUAUACCAUGUUGCUUCGGCGGGCCCGUCUUCGGACCGCUGGGCGGUUUCUGACCGUCUGGCCCGUUGCCCGUCGAUAGCCCAACCCUCAAACUCUUGUGAUAAAUGUGUUGUCUGAGUAUAAACAAGCAAUUAAAUUAAAACUUUCAACAACGGAUCUCUUGGUUCUGGCAUCGAUGAAGAACGCAGCGAAAUGCGAUAAGUAAUGCGAAUUGCAGAAUUUCCGUGAGUCAUCGAAUCUUUGAACGCACAUUGCGCCCUCUGGUAUUCCGGGGGGCAUGCCUGUUCGAGCGUCAUUAUCACCCCUCAAGCCUAGCUUGGUGUUGGACCAGGUCGUGAGAGCGACCGGUCCCAAAGACAAUGACGGCGUCUGUUGGACCCUCGGUGCAAUGAGCUUUCACGAGCACGCACCCGAGUUGCAAGGCCCUUCAGCCCGGUCUCCUUUAAUUAUUUUAUCAAGGUUGACCUCGGAUCAGGUAGGAAUACCCGCUGAACUUAAGCAUAUCAAUAAGCGGAGGA